AAGGAAUAUUGGUUAAUGGGCGCAAGCCUGAACCAGCCAUGCCGCGUGCAGGGAGACGGCCCUAUGGGUUGUAAACUGCUUUUGUCAGGGAAUAAACCCCCGCUCGUGAGCGGGGCUGAAGGUACCUGAAGAAUAAGCAUCGGCUAACUCCGUGCCAGCAGCCGCGGUAAUACGGAGGAUGCAAGCGUUAUCCGGAUUCAUUGGGUUUAAAGGGUGCGCAGGCGGAUUGGUAAGUCAGGGGUGAAAUCCCACAGCUCAACUGUGGAACUGCCUUUGAUACUGUCAGUCUAGAGUAUAGUUGAAGUGGGCGGAAUGUGUCAUGUAGCGGUGAAAUGCUUAGAUAUGACACAGAACACCGAUCGCGAAGGUAGCUCGCUAAGCUAUAACUGACGCUCAUGCACGAAAGCGUGGGGAUCAAACAG
rnacentral:rRNA from 1 species